AGAAAUGUCCUCGCCGGGUUACGGUAACUUAAUCGGGUGCGACCAAAAGCCCCGUUUAAUGCCGGUAUCGGGUAGAAUUCCACCGUGUCCAAGUUUUGCGACAUAUAUAAACUUGUUUAACCUUUCAUUUGAAGCUUUUUCUCUCUCUCACACUACUCUCUCUCUAACCUCUCUCCUAAAUCCAAGUUUAAGGGUCCAAAACUCAAUUUUAAGGCCUCAAAUACCUAAGGUACCUUCUUAAACUUAAUGUAUAGAAUAUUUGACUUCCAAAUUCGGGAUUUAAUCAGGAAAUAAGGCCUUGAAUGUGAGUUUAUGGCCUUGGUAGAAGCUUAGGCCGUAAACACAUAGUUAAGGGGUUUUUAAGCCCUAAAACCCUUCCAAACCACAACUAGANUUAGAUAUGGCUAAAUGACUUCAUGGAAUGGACUUAAAACAUUUUAGACAUGGAUUUUGAGGGAUUUGAAGGAGUUUACGGCGAAGCACAUGCUUGGGCCGGUAACUCAUAUAUAUGGGCUUUUUAUGACCUUAAACCCUUCCAAAACACUAAUAAGGCUUAGAUAUGAAUUUUAGAAUAUUGGUUUUAGCCAUAGAACACCUUAACCACAUUAUUUGAAGGAUAAUUGAGAGUUUACAGCCAAGACUUAUGCUUGGACCGUAAAACCUUCAUUUUGGGGUGUAAACUCCUUUAAAGGUGUUACAAAGGCACUUUAACACCCUUAAAGCCUUAGAAUAAUUUUUAGAAGUGCAUACAAACAAGUUUUUGGCCUUAAAACAUAAUGAAUCACACUUUAGGAGAGUUUACGGCCAUGAGGGGGGUCUCAUAGGCCGUAAACUCCAAAAACACCUCAAAAGUCCCAUAAAAAUUCAUGUAAGGCCUUGGAACAAUUUUAGCAAUCACAUGUGAUUUGUUUGGAAUCAAUAACACAAUUAUUCAUGGGUAUAUAGGAUUUUACCGCCAUGAGACCCAUGCUAGGCCAUAAACUACCUUAAGUAUGUCCAUUGGUGUCUAAAAUUCAUUCCAAGCCCUUAAACCAAACCUAGAAAUUUUCCCCUUAAGUGUUUCAAGCCAAGUUGCACCAUAAAUCUCCCCACCAUGAGUUUACAGCCGUAAAAUCAUGACGAGGGGGUCAUUAGGGCCAUAAACUCCCUAAAGAGUUUACUCUUGAAGUCCCAAUUCAAUAUCCUAGCUAUAUGUGUCCCCAAACGCCACCCGGGUCCCUCCAAACACUUGUAAUGGGGUGUUUCCGCGACUAAAAGUGUUUGUCGCUUACAAUCAAAUAAGCUAAGUCCUAAUUAGAUACAAAUGUGUAUAUUUGCAUUAUACUUAGUAACCUCAUGCGUUUGCAAGCCCCGAACCAACAUUUAACAUCCUAAAUCGUCAUGUUUCUCGUCCGGUGAGUUCAUACCCUUACGCUUUUUCCGUGUUUUUCAAUGUUUUCAGGGGGGAAUACAAGCAAACUAUAACUGUUUUCAAAACAUAACAUUGAUGUGUUUCAAAUAAUAUCUGGCAAAUUUAUAAACACUUUUACUCCUUAUGUAUUAUGCUGAGCAUAAGGGAUGAUUUAUCAACUACAACUAAAUGGAUUUUAGUUAAGAAAAUAACCAAACUAAUCAAAUUAUUAUGGGAAUAAUUUGGGGGUUCUUUAGUUCUCGUUUUAUCAUGUACUGAUAUGUGUAUAAAGUUAUUAGAUAAACUAUGUCUGAUUUAGUUUAUCUCUGUAUCAUUUGAAUGUAUUGCCAAAUAGUUUCAUUGUAUGUAUCUAUAUUCACUGUAUUAUGUUUCAUAAUCUUUUGAAUGUUUGAUACCGUAUGAGAGCCUUGUGAAUAGUUUAGUACUAGUUUGUGAGUUAGUCACUACCCUUUAUGGAUGAUCAGUAAAUCCUCCCCGGAAGUGUAACCAGAGUCUCCUGGAGGGAGAGCGAGGAAUUUGUGAAUAGAUCUAUUCGGGACUGACAAUCCCACACCUUAACUGCUAGCUACAGUCAAGCGGGCACGCCUGGGGUGACAAAUUCUGGAUAUCGUCCGACGUCUGACAAGCGUCAAGGAGUUCUUGUUUUCGUAUCAGCAUGGUUACCCGACUCACAAUAUGUAUUAAUAUAAGUUUAUUCACGGCUUUGGUUUUGGAGAUAUAUAUCUAGUACGGGAUGGUAAUCCCAUGGUCUGUAGUCUAUAAGUUUCAUAUCUAUUGUUGGAUGUUAUUCCUAUGGUUAGAAUCUAUAUCUAGUUCGGGAUGGUGAUCCCAUGGUUUUAUCAAAACAUCUUAUAUCUAGUUCGGGAUAGUAAUCCUAUGGUUUUAUUAAAUUAUCUUGUAUCUAGCCCGGGAUGAUAGUCCCAUGGUAUUAAAUCUAUAUGUAUUACGGUAUGUCAAUCCCAAGGCUUUCAAACUAUUUUUCCAUCUACAGUUCACGUAUAUUAAAGUAUUUUAUAUCGAAUUCGGGAUAGAAAUCCCAAGAUUUUCAAUAUAUAGUUUUGUGUAUUAAACUAUACUAUGUGAUAUUAAAUCGGUCUUCUAAUUUGGAAGAUAUGGGAUUUUCCUGGGGUAACGUAUAACGCGUAAUUGAACUGUAAUGAAGGAUAACUAAACUGUUUUACAUAAGAAAAUAUGGGAUUUUCUUGGAUAACAAACCUUUUCGGAAAACUAAAGGAAACUGGUACAUUUUUCAGCAAACAAACAUCUGAUGAACUCACAAGCUUUAUGCUGAUUUUCAAACCGCUUGUAUUCUCAGGUCCACGUUAGACAGGUACACGCCGAUAUCUUUUGGAGAAGACGGGGUGCUCAGAAGACUCGUCCUAACUUUUGUUCAUAUGAUAUAUAUGUAUAACAUUUGUACAAUUUACUUUUGAAACAAAUGUAAACUUUCAAAUAUAUGUAAUGUAAUGGUUGUUUACUGUGAUUACUAUGUACAUUGGAUUUGAUACUCAACGUGGAGUCAACCCCGGGAACGUUUCCGCCUUUGGUUUUCGGGGUGUGACAGAUUGGUAUCAGAGCCCUUGUUUAUAGUGAACAGAGUAUACCAAACCUUACAUGGUAUAAAACUAUAAACAUUAAGGGGCCUAAGUGCUCUAAACUAAAAGUAUCCUACAUAAUAUAAGUAUUUUCAAAAGUAUUUAAGUAUGCUGAGCCGUCGAGAUCCGUAACUACAAGUAGAACAAAACAUAAGUAAAUGGGUGUUGUACGCUGCGGUUAAACCUGGGCAGUUAUGUAGUCGUGUCUAGGGUCAAUAUAGCCUGGCCAACUAUAUUCAUUCAAGACACGGCCAACAUGUGCUUGGGAGUGACUGUGGUAUGCGGCAUACCUAAAACUUACCCAAUACCCCAAACAACGAGUCGUCGUUGCAGUGAAUCAUGAAAUACUAUGGGAGUAUUUCUCGAUUCAAUCCUUUGUAGAAAAUCCUCAUAUACGCGUUGCUCCUUGAUCAUUCCUCUAGAGAUAAAAUAUUCUAUCUUGAUAACUCUUUCCUGCUUUAUCGCUUAGUAUGAUGCUAUAUUUGUCUUGAUGAGAUAUCCCCUGUUCCAUAUCUCUUGAUUCGAUUCAGAGGACUUAUGAUCCUCUCUUUCCUGAUCUUUUUAGAUCACGAUGCCUCCAAGAAAGAGACCCAACUCUAAGAACACCAACAACCCUCUGCCACCACCUCCUCCUGAAUUUGACCUUGUGAUGUUCCAGGCAGCUGUCAAUGCCGCGGUGGCAGCUGCUAUGUUUCAAAGUAACUCGGAUGGUUCCGGUGGUACUCAAACCCAAAACCCAGAGAACAGUCAGGGACACCAAAAAGGGGGUUCCUAUAAGGACUUCCUGAAAGCGAAACCCACAUCCUUUGAUGGCACCAGAGGUGUCAUUUCCCUCACCCGAUGGUUCGAGAAAAUCGAAUCAAUCUUUGAAAUAUGCGCCCGCGCGGAGUCUGACAAAGUAAAUUUCACCGCCUACACCUUCCUUGAUAAGGCCCUGACUUGGUGGAACAGCCGAGUCAAAUCUUUAACUCUACCUGUAGCGAAUGCUAUGGGUUGGGAAGCUAUGAAGGAGCUUCUACUCGCAGAAAAUUGCCAUCGGGGCGAACUCCAGAAGCUAGAACACGAACUCUGGAACCUAAAGUUGAAGGGUUCCGACAUAGCCUCUUACACUUCAAGAUUCGACGAUCUGGCGUUACUCUGUUCGGGAAUGGUUACCCCGAAGAAUAAAAAGAUUGAGAGGUUAAUCUGGGGGUUGACCCAACCAACAAAAGGGAAUGUCUUGGCUGUGAAGCUAGACACCUAUGACAGCGCUAAAUGUCUUGCGCAAAUUCUGAUCGAUCACGAAGACAACUCUGAUGAGGAGGCUACCACUCCCGAACCGGUCACAAAUGGAGGUGGAAGUAAAAAGAAAUUUUGGAAUAAGUGGAAGGCUCAGAGUACGCAAGGGUCUUCUAAGAAACAGCAAAUAGUAGCAGUUGAUGCUGCUACUACCCCUCUUGCUGUUUCAGCUGUCGGUUCCACGGCCCAAACUCCUACCAGUGGAUACACUGGUACCCUUCCUUGGUGUGAUAAGUGCAGCUACCAUCACCGCAUUCCUGGUCCAUGUCGCGAAAGGAUCUGUGACAACUGUGGCAAGAAGGGCCAUCUUGCUCGAACUUGCAGAAAACCAGCCAAAUCAAUGAACCAAUCAUCCGGAACGGGAAUCAGUCCAGCCUGCUACAAUUGUGGCGAAGUAAGGCACUUCAAAAGAAAUUGCCCCAAAGCAGCUACAACCGCUGAUCCCACUGUCGCAGCAGGUAUACUUCUCUUUGAUAAUUCUUAUACAUGCAACUCUUUAUGAUUCUAGUACCAGAAGGGAAACUUUUCACGAAAUACUUUGAUGCUAUGUUGGACAUGUAAUGACCGAGUCUCAUUCAUCUUGUUAACCUUUAGUUUCAAAAGGGUCGCUAGUCUAGAUCUUUUCCCCGACCCGUCUCUCGUGAUCUUCGACAUCAAACCUUCGUAUCAUUUCAUGCCUUAAAGCUCAAAAGUUUUUCCCGAUAUGAAUUAUCACGCAUCCCUCGUUUCUGUGUUCAUUAAGAAAUGGGAAGUCAGCAGCUAUUUCCUCUAAAUGUCUUUCCCGAAGAAUUCCCGAAAAUUCCUUUCGAACAUUUUAGCUUGGUUCCGCAUCGGCUUAAUUUCUGGAUCUACCUCGUGACCGAACGUCAGUGUGAAUGACGUGUUCAAAAUGGUGACCAAGAACUGAUAUGAUCACUUCAGAUUAGUAGUGGUAUCCUUUCGAUCAAGUAGCCAAGCAAAGUAGCCGUUAGCGUGUACUUCUCCAAAGUGUAAGGCAAUAGGGAAAUUGUCGGCACUAAAAAUACCCAUAGAAACCUGUUGAUUCUUGGGUCCCAUCGACUAAUAUCCUGGUCUUACUCAUAAACUUCUUCUAAAGCCAUCAAACCCUUAGCUACCCGGCUCCUUGAAGAAGUACUUUCCUGUUGGAGCGUAUGUUCUAUUGAUGGCUUUAUCCCAGAAAAUCAUGAUAUGCUUUGAGAAGUGUGAAAUACUUCCCUCGUGAUCCAAUAGACUCUUCGUGAUCCUCAUAGAAUCGAUUUCGUAACUUUCCAACUCUGGCUACCCUCAGAACUUAGUAAAAUCCAUCCGGUACUUCACGUCUCCAAUCCUUAGAAGUAUUUACCCAGCAAAACCCUAGUGAUUCCUUUGAGGAAACCGAAGUCGUCCAGGGUUGAAACUUCCAUGAGAGAACCGAUUGAGAUCGUAGAUUGAGAGAGAGUCAAUGUGCGAAACAAAGUCACGUCCUGAUAGUGAGAGAUCGAUAGAACGCCUAGUGUAAACCCGACCCCGCUUGAGAGCAUGAUCGUUCGAGUCAAAAAAUCCAUUCGUGUCUUAUUCUAAUUCAUGAUCUAUAUCUUAAUCUUUGAAUUUCGAGAUGAAAUUCCCUCUAAUGGGGGGAUAAUGUAACAACCUGAAGUUGUUCAUCGCCGAAAACCCAUUCUACCUGUAUAACUCGCCGUAUAUCGAAACGUUCCGACAUCGUUUUUGGGUUAAGUUAAUUAAACAUAUAUGUUUAAUUGAUGCUAAUGAGUGUCCAAACCUCUUAGGAACUCAUGAAUUUAGCUCAAAAUGUUUAAUUCAUAAAUUUAGAAAUGUCAUCGCCGGGUUACGGUAACUUAAUUAGGUGCGACCAAAAGCCCCGUUUAAUGCCGGUAUCGGGUAGAAUUCCACCGUGUCCAAGUUUUGCGACCUAUAUAAACGUGUUUAACCUUUCAUUUGAAGCUUUUUCUCUCUCUCACUACUCUCUCUCUAACCUCUCUCCUAAAUCGAAGUUUAAGGGUCCAAAACAAAAUUUUAAGGCCUCAAAUACCUAAGGUACCUUCCUAAACUUAAUGUAUAGCAUAUUUGACUUCCAAAUUUAGGAUUUAAUCAGGAAAUAAGGCCUUGAAUGUGAGUUUACGGCCUUGGUAGAAGCUUAGGCCGUAAACACAUAGUUAAGGGGUUUUUAAGCCCUAAAAC
rnacentral:lncRNA from 1 species